UGCCAGCCGCCGCGGUAAUACGAAGGGUGCUAGCGUUAUUCGGAAUUAUUGGGCGUAAAGGGCGCGCAGGCGGUCUUGUCCGUCAGGUGUGAAAGCUCGGGGCUCAACCCCGGAAGUGCACUUGAAACAGCAAGACUUGAAUACGGUAGAGGAGAGAGGAAUUCCUGGUGUAGAGGUGAAAUCCGUAGAGAUCGGAAGGAAUACCGGUGGCGAAGGCGGCCUCCUGGACCAAUAUUGACGCUGAGGCGCGAAGGCGUGGGUAGCGAACGGGAUUAGAUA
rnacentral:rRNA from 1 species